UACGAAGGGGGCUAGCGUUGCUCGGAAUGACUGGGCGUAAAGGGCGCGUAGGCGGAUGGUACAGUCAGAUGUGAAAUUCCUGGGCUUAACCUGGGGGCUGCAUUUGAUACGUGUUGUCUAGAGUGAGGAAGAGGGUCGUGGAAUUCCCAGUGUAGAGGUGAAAUUCGUAGAUAUUCGGAGGAACACCAGUGGCGAAGGCGGCUCACUGGUCCAUUACUGACGCUGAGGUGCGAAAGCGUGGGGAGCAAACAGG
rnacentral:rRNA from 1 species